UGCCUAGCUACAAACUGAAGAAUUACAACUACUUUCCGCCAGAACACUACGAGUAAACACUUAAAAAUCAAAGGACUUGGCGGUGCCCAAAAUCCACCCAGAGGAGCCUGUUCUAUAAUCGACAAUCCACGCUAAACCUCACCACUCUUUGCCAACAACAGCCUAUAUACCACCGUCUACAGCUCACCCCUUGAAGGUAAACAAGUGAGCAAAAUCAAUCUACUAAAAACGUCAGGUCAAGGUGUAGCACAUAGAAUGGAAAGAAAUGGGCUACAUUUUCUUACUAAGAAUAAUUACGAAAAAGCCAAUGAAAAAUUCUUAGAAGGCGGAUUUGGCAGUAAAAAGAAACAAUCAAAUUCUUUUUAACACGGCCCUUGGGCGCGC
rnacentral:rRNA from 1 species